rnacentral:lncRNA from 1 species
UCAAAAGCUGCAGUAAAAAUAAUUGUGUGUUUUAAAACCAAUGGUAUCUUAGAAAUAGGAAAUAUGAAAUGAUGACAAGCCUAGCCAGAACACUAAUUUGUUUCUAUAUCCCCAAUAUAUAGCGGGCAGUAUGAUUUCAAUAUGUUUAUGAGAAGGACAAAUAUCUCAACAAAAUAGACACUACACAAUAUCAAUAAGUUUACCCUUGAGAAUAAGUCACUUUCUCAGAUGGUGUUUUCACAACAUAAAUGUUUUAUGCAUUUGUGCUU